rnacentral:rRNA from 1 species
UGUCACUUAUAGAUGGACCCGCGCCGUAUUAGCUAGUUGGUGAGGUAACGGCUCACCAAGGCAACGAUACGUAGCCGACCUGAGAGGGUGAUCGGCCACACUGGAACUGAGACGCGGUCCAGACUCCGACGGGAGGCAGCAGUAGGGAAUCUUCCGCAAUGGGCGAAAGCCUGACGGAGCAACGCCGCGUGAGUGAUGAAGGUCUUCGGAUCGUAAAGCUCUGUUGUUAGGGAAGAACAAAUGUGUAAGUAACU